rnacentral:rRNA from 1 species
GACGAACGCUGGCGGCGUGCUUAACACAUGCAAGUCGUACGGUAAGGCCCUUUCGGGGGUACACGAGUGGCGAACGGGUGAGUAACACGUGAGUAACCUGCCCACAACUUUGGGAUAACGCUAGGAAACUGGUGCUAAUACUGGAUAUGUGCUCCUGCUGCAUGGUGGGGGUUGGAAAGCUCCGGCGGUUGUGGAUGGACUCGCGGCCUAUCAGCUUGUUGGUGGGGUAGUGGCCUACCAAGGCGGCGACGGGUAGCCGGCCUGAGAGGGUGACCGGCCACCUUGGGACUGAGAUACGGCCCAGACUCCUACGGGAGGCAGCAGUGGGGAAUAUUGCACAAUGGGCGCCAGCCUGAUGCAGCAACGCCGCGUGCGGGAUGACGGCCUUCGGGUUGUAAACCGCUUUCAGCAGGGACGAAGCUUUUUGUGACGGUACCUGCAGAAGAAGCACCGGCUAACUACGUG